AAACCUGAGGAACCCGAAAGAUCGAACGGGGAGAUUCAGCGUCAGCGGCGCUGGCUCGGCGGCGGUCGGCGAUGUCGUCCGACGGCGGCGGCGGCCCUCGCGGUCGUCCCGCCUCGAAGCGACACGUCACCGCUCUGCCGUGUCCGGUGCUCGUCGUCGUGCACUUCUCCCCUAGUAGAACGUCGCGACCCGUUGGGCGCUGGUCUACGGCUCGGGUGGUAGCCUGUCGCGCGGCGCUUCACGGCGCACGCCGCGAACAGACCCCCCGAGAACGCCCGACCGGCCGCUCGGCGGUAUCGACAACUCGAAAGGUAUGCGGCCGCAAGAGGUCCUCCUCCGUCGCGAGACGGGCGGAGAAACUCUGUGCGUCGGACCCCGCCGCAAGCGCGGCCAGCGUCUCCCUGGUGGUUACACACGGACCCCACGGUGCCGUCCCCGGGCCUGGUCAGCUGUUGGCAGGCGGUGAGCUCCGACAGGCCCAUCGCGCCGCGCCACGCGCGCGCGCGCGCACGCGAUACCGGUCGGCGACGCUACUGCUUUGGGUACCCUCAGGACCCGUCUUGAAACACGGACCAAGGAGUCUAACAUGUGCGCGAGUCAUUGGGACUCCGAAUCCUAAAGGCGCAAUGAAAGUGAAGGUCGGCGGCGACACACGGAGCCGCCGUUCGAGGGAGGAUGGGCCGCGUCGCGACGCGGCUCCGCACUCCCGGGGCGUCUCGUUCUCAUCGCGAGAGGAGGCGCACCCAGAGCGUACACGUUGGGACCCGAAAGAUGGUGAACUAUGCCUGGUCAGGACGAAGUCAGGGGAAACCCUGAUGGAGGUCCGCAGCGAUUCUGACGUGCAAAUCGAUCGUCGGAACUGGGUAUAGGGGCGAAAGACUAAUCGAACCAUCUAGUAGCUGGUUCCCUCCGAAGUUUCCCUCAGGAUAGCUGGCACUCGAGGGAGGGAGUCUCAUCUGGUAAAGCGAAUGAUUAGAGGCCUUGGGGCCGAAACGACCUCAACCUAUUCUCAAACUUUAAAUGGGUGAGAUCUCUGGCUUGCUUGAACGGUGAAGCCACGAGACAGGCGAGACAAAUAUUUUAUAUCAAAUAUAUAUAACACACACGCACACGGAUCAGAGUGCCAAGUGGGCCAAUUUU
rnacentral:rRNA from 1 species